GUGCCAGCCGCCGCGGUAAUUCCAGCUCCAAUAGCGUAUAUUAAAGUUGUUGUGGUUAAAAAGCUCGUAGUUGAACCUUGGGCCUGGCUGGCCGGUCCGCCUCACCGCGUGCACUGGUCCGGCCGGGCCUUUCCCUCUGUGGAACCCCAUACCCUUCACUGGGCGUGGCGGGGAAACAGGACAUUUACUUUGAAGAAAUUAGAGUGCUCCAGGCAGGCCUAUGCUCGAAUACAUUAGCAUGGAAUAAUAAAAUAGGACGCGCGGUUCUAUUUUGUUGGUUUAUAGGACCGCCGUAAUGAUUAAUAGGGACAGUCGGGGGCAUCAGUAUUCAACUGUCAGAGGUGAAAUUCUUGGAUCAGUUGAAGACUAACUACUGCGAAAGCAUUUGCCAAGGAUGUUUUCAUUAAUCAGGAACGAAAGUUAGGGGAUCGAAGACGAUCAGAUACCGUCGUAGUCUUAACCAUAAACUAUGCCGACUAGGGAUCGGACGGUGUUAUUCAUGACCCGUUCGGCACCUUACGAGAAAUCAAAGUGCUUGGGCUCCAGGGGGAGUAUGGUCGCAAGGCUGAAACUUAAAGAAAUUGACGGAAGGGCACCACCAGGGGUGGAGCCUGCGGCUUAAUUUGACUCAACACGGGGAAACUCACCAGGUCCAGACACAAUAAGGAUUGACAGAUUGAGAGCUCUUUCUUGAUUUUGUGGGUGGUGGUGCAUGGCCGUUCUUAGUUGGUGGGGUGACUUGUCUGCUUAAUUGCG
rnacentral:rRNA from 1 species